rnacentral:rRNA from 1 species
AAAACACAGCACUGUGCCAACACGAAAGUGGACGUAUACGGUGUGACGCCUGCCCGGUGCCGGAAGGUUAAGUGAUGGGGUGCAAGCUCUUGAUCGAAGCCCCGGUAAACGGCGGCCGUAACUAUAACGGUCCUAAGGUAGCGAAAUUCCUUGUCGGGUAAGUUCCGACCCGCACGAAUGGCGUAACGAUGGCCACACUGUCUCCUCCUGAGACUCAGCGAAGUUGAAGUGUUUGUGAAGAUGCAAUCUCCCCGCUGCUAGACGGAAAGACCCCGUGAACCUUUACUGUAGCUUUGCAUUGGACUUUGAACAGACUUGUGUAGGAUAGGUGGGAGGCUUUGAAGCCAGGACGCUAGUUCUGGUGGAGCCGUCCUUGAAAUACCACCCUGGUGUGUUUGAGGUUCUAACCUUGGUCCGUGAUCCGGAUUGGGGACAGUGCAUGGUAGGCAGUUUGACUGGGGCGGUCUCCUCCCAAAGUGUAACGGAGGAGUUCGAAGGUUACCUAGGUACGGUCGGAAAUCGUGCUGAUAGUGCAAUGGCAAAAGGUAGCUUAACUGCGAGACCGACAAGUCGAGCAGGUGCGAAAGCAGGACAUAGUGAUCCGGUGGUUCUGAAUGGAAGGGCCAUCGCUCAACGGAUAAAAGGUACUCCGGGGAUAACAGGCUGAUACCGCCCAAGAGUUCACAUCGACGGCGGUGUUUGGCACCUCGAUGUCGGCUCAUCACAUCCUGGGGCUGUAGCCGGUCCCAAGGGUAUGGCUGUUCGCCAUUUAAAGUGGUACGUGAGCUGGGUUCAAAACGUCGUGAGACAGUUUGGUCCCUAUCUGCAGUGGGCGUUGGAAGUUUGACGGGGGCUGCUCCUAGUACGAGAGGACCGGAGUGGACGCACCUCUGGUGUACCGGUUGUGACGCCAGUCGCAUUGCCGGGUAGCUAAGUGCGGAAGAGAUAACCGCUGAAAGCAUCUAAGCGGGAAACUUGCCUGAAGAUGAGACUUCCCUGGAGGCUUGACCUCCCUGAAGAGUCGUUCGAGACCAGGACGUUGAUAGGUCGGGUGUGGAAGCGCUGUGAGGCGUGAAGCUAACCGAUACUAAUUGCUCGUGAGGCUUGAUCCU